ACAAGAACGUAACUUUGUGCAUCCUAAUAAUAAGAAGAAAGUGUUGCAUUUUGGCAGCGGAUACUGGAGGAGAAAUUCCAGCAUGAAAGAGACCAACCUCACCUGUGGAAUCCAAAAAGUAAGUAUAUUUACAAAUCUCUAAGAGAGAAGAGCAAUGAAAGAAGAGACCCGAACAGAGACAUAGACUCGGUGUAUACUCUCGCAUCGAAGAGCAUCGUUCAUUUUGUAAGAGAAUAGUGUGACGGCUUAUCUAGCUUAUCUAGACUCAAAAAGCCACGAAUGAAUCAUUUGCUAAGAUACUAGCUCCAACACUGGAUUUCUUUUGUCGAGAUGGGUUUGGUGUUCUUCGAACAUUUGUAACCCUAGAAGCUAUUGGUUACCAAGUAAGCUCAAGAAGCGAAGCUGGUCUUCCUGGUAGAUUAUAUAAGGACAUCUCAUGUUCAUGCCAGUGCGCUUUUCGUUCUUUCAAUCCCUUCUUUUCUCGAGUCUUUAGCCGCAUUUAGUAAAUAUAAGUAGGUGUGUUUCAGAAGCUAGUGUUUGAGUAUGACUUUUUGGGGAUUAAUCUUUGAGAUAUAUGCCUAUUUCUUUUAUGACCGUGAGUGAAAGCCUAUUAGUAUUAGAGAAGGGGGGAAGUAGGUGAUCAUCAACAAGUGUUUGACUAUGCCAUUCGUCAUACGACGCGUACAUCUCCGAUCAGAGAGUUUCUUAAUCGUCUGGUUAUUUCCAUGGAAAAGCGAAAAUCCUAUAUUAUUAUUAGAUUCUUAUUAUAUGGAAGUAGGUCCUAUUAUUAUAUAGAAGUAGGUCCUCGACCCAGGGUAAUUCAUCAAUCAGAUGGAUGCGCUUAUAGGGCUCUUAGCACCUUACUUUGAUUCCUGUCAACCCUUCGCUAGUAGGACUAUCAGAUAGAAUGGCUAGUCGGUAAACCCUUGACUGCCAAUCUCAUUAGAGGUUAUAAGCUAGCAUCAAAAAAGGGUGGGGUGGUAGUAGACCAGGUGAGUGUUAGCGCUUUACUAAUCCAAAAUAGGGAGUAGACCCGUUUCUUUCUAGAAUGACUCUUCCGGAGUAAAGCUUGAACGUGGCCUGUUAGUCCAAAAGGAAAUGACAUAUCGGAUCGUAGCCAGGAGGUGCCUCAAAUCAGCGAGAUGAAAAACUAGGGCAAAGGGAGAGGGUUCCACAUAAACAAAGAAAAGUAUGGCAGCAGUCGAAUCUUUAGCUAGUCCCAUUCCUUUUAUCUGCGAAGGAAUGAAAGGAUUGGAAGGUAAUAAAGACGGAUAUUGCAAAUAUGGAAUUUUCGGAAAGGAACGGAGCAUAUAUAGUGGCUCGACGCGGCGGUGUACACGUGUCUCCUAUAGCAUGCAGCCCAUAAUGAAGAGACAGAUCUCGAGAAAGGUGUGCUGCGAGAGUAUAGGUAGCCAGUCUUUACUUAAGUAGGCCCAAGCAAUGCCCAAAGACUCCCAUUUCCUUAUUGGCCGACCCUUUUCCCUAUAAGGUUCCUAGCCCAAGGCGAUUUCCGACAAGUAGUUGGUCAGCAGAGAAAGUAGAGGUCGGGCGCUAAGCAAGACAAGAUAGAGAUUCCAUUAAUGAUUCAGCAGCAUAAGAUUAAUUGGAAUUAAUGAUUCAGCAGCAUAAGAUUAAUUAGAGUUAGUCGUUAAGCUCAUUGAUUUAGUAUAUAUAGGUAUGUGGAGAGAUAGAUUGUAGUAGGUCCUAAGGUAAUAAGAAAUAGGAUGAAGUAUAAGUAAGUGGAGAGAUAGAUUGAAGUAGGUACAAAGGUAAUAAGAAAUAGAUGAAGCGGGUAAUCAGAAAGGGGAGAGUAAGGAGCAGAUUCCGCAGUGGAAGCAGUUCUUGACUUGCGAAUAACUCGCCGCUGGAACUCGGCUCCCAAAAACGGGACUUGGCGUCAGUGAGCUCUUUACCUACAAAGACAAAGAUAGAAAGAAAAUAACUUAGUCCGUUUCUUCUCCCUUCUUCGCUCUUAAUACACACCUCUGGGCAGGAAAUAUCACUCGUACACUAACUUGCUUGUUUAAUUGAAUGAAAUCCAAAUGGAAUAUAUGAAAUACAAUAGAAAAGAGUAAAGAACACCGCUUACUAUAAUAUCAUGGUAGUGCGCACACCUAUAAUCUCAUCUAUGAACUAACCAUCAUGAAGGAAGCUCACUCCUAAUCAUAUGAAACACCAUCAGAAAGCUCACUCCUAAUCAUAUAUAGUAUGGAACUUGCUGUAUCUUAAAGCUCACUCCUAAUCAUAUAUAGUGAAGUAUGGAACUCGCACACGUAGAACUCACUUUAGCUCGACGACGAACGCCAAACACCAGGUAUCAAAGAAAUUCAUUGAGUUAGAUAAGAGUCCAGGGCUAGUUCCAGUGGAAUUCUUAUCCGUAUUUGUAACAAGAGGAGAGGAAGCUAGAAGUACUAUUGAUCCCAGGACUUGAUUCUGCCCCUAAUCAAAGUAAGGCAAUUGGUU
rnacentral:lncRNA from 1 species